UACGAAGGGGGCUAGCGUUGCUCGGAAUUACUGGGCGUAAAGCGCGCGUAGGCGGCUUUGUAAGUUAGAGGUGAAAGCCCGGGGCUCAACCCCGGAACUGCCUUUAAGACUGCAUCGCUUGAAUCCGGGAGAGGUGAGUGGAAUUCCGAGUGUAGAGGUGAAAUUCGUAGAUAUUCGGAAGAACACCAGUGGCGAAGGCGGGUCUCUGGACAGUUCCUGACGCUGAGGCACGAAGGUCAGGGGAGCAAACGGG
rnacentral:rRNA from 1 species